CUUUGAAGCGACGAUGGAAAAGCAAUAAGAAAAUUAAGGAAAAUCCAUAGAAAAUCACUCUUUUUUAUGUCUUGUGACACGUAGAAAUCUUUUACAAAAGCAAAGGCAAAUUUUAGUUUUAAGUAAAAAUGUGGAAACUUCUACAAUCGAGUUGCUGUGAGAUAAUGACGAGCUCUUAAUAAACGAACAAACCAAAAUGCUUCUCGUCAAUUUACGUUCCUACAAAUUCAUCUUGCUCAUAAUCGGAUGCAUCUUUGUCGUUCAACUUUUUCUUGCGCUGAAACUUCCGUCGAUUUUCACGUCGCGGAUUAUCAGCAGCGGAGAGACGGAAACGCAUCGCGAACGAUAUGGCAAACAGAUUCGCGAUCAAGGCGGAGGCGGAGGGACUUUUAGUGAUGACGAAGAGAUUUCAACCAAAGACAAGAGCGGAAAUAGUCCUCUCGCGAGCAAAAAACGAACAAAUGGCGGAAAUAGCAACGAUGUGAUAUUAAAAGAGUUAGGAAUAAGCGACGCGCCGCCUCCCAAUUGCCAUAUCACGAAAGAAGUCACGAGUGCGCUUCAACGUGCCAGCUCCCAAAACUGCCGUAAACAUAUCAUCGAAGUUGCGUGUGCCAUUCAAAAUGGAACUUUUUAUCCGCGAUGGUUGCCAAGCACGUGCCCGAACGGAAAUCACAUCGCGAAUCGGUAUCUCGGGUGUUUCAAGGAUCAGCAAGAUGACAGAUUGCUCACGGGAUACAUGACGGCCCUCAAAACGAGCAAUACUCCGCGAAAGUGCAUCCAAAUGUGCCUCCAAAGCGGCUUCGUGUAUGCCGGCACGCAAUAUGGCACGGAAUGCUUUUGCGGAAACAACGUGCCGCCGCAUACCUCAAAGAUACCUGAUAACAGUUGCAAUAUGAAGUGCUCGGGAGAUGCGACGCUCACGUGUGGCGGCUUUUAUACAAUCGCUGUCUACGAAACGGGCAUUGAAAAAUUCACUGCCCAAAUCGCCGAAACGACGCCGCAUCCCGAUCAAAAACCCGUUAAAAUUGCCUUCCUGUUGACGUUAAAUGGGCGUGCAAUCCGCCAAGUGUAUCGCCUCAUCAAAUCAUUAUACCGUCCGAACCAUUUCUUCUAUAUUCACAUCGAUGCACGUCAGCGUUACAUGUAUCGCGAACUUUUGAGCCUCGAAACGCAAUUCAGCAAUAUUCGGUUAGCACGAACGCGUUACGCGACAAUUUGGGGAGGCGCUUCUCUGCUCAAAAUGUUGAUGACUUCCAUGGAAGAACUGCUGCAGCUCCAAUGGGAUUGGGAUUACAUCAUAAAUUUGAGCGAAAGUGAUUUUCCUGUAAAAACUGUCGAUAAACUCGUGAAAUUCUUAACUGCCAAUGCGGGAAAGAACUUUGUGAAAAGUCAUGGGCGUGAAACGCAACGAUUUGUGCAAAAACAGGGAUUGGAUAAGACUUUUGUGGAGUGUGAUAAUCACAUGUGGCGCAUCGGGGAACGAGAAUUGCCCGAAAAUAUCCAAGUUGAUGGCGGAAGUGAUUGGUUGGCACUCGAUAGGAGCUUUGUAAAGUACGUUAUUGAAGAAAAUGAUGAACUUAUACAAGGUUUGCUGAAGAUUUUUGGUCAAACUUUGUUGCCGGCAGAAUCUUUUUUUCACACAGUGUUGCGAAACUCGCGUUUUUGUCACACUUAUAUCGACAAUAACUUACAUAUCACGAAUUGGAGACGAAAACUCGGCUGUAAAUGUCAAUAUAAGCACGUCGUUGAUUGGUGCGGAUGCAGUCCGAACGAUUUCAAACCCGAAGAUUGGACUCGUCUCGAAGGUACAGAGCCAAAAGCGAUAUUUUUCGCACGUAAAUUCGAACCUGUCAUCAAUCACGGCAUCAUUGUUCAACUCGAGGAAUGGGUUUACGGAGCAUAUCCCGAAAAUUUCGUUCAUCUCUAUUCCUAUUGGCAAAAUUUGUAUCAUCAUAUCGACGACGAAGGCACAGAUCGCGAUGGAAUUGUCUCUUUGUCGAAGGCACUUGUUCGUGUAACCGCCAAAAAACUCAAAAACAUCUAUCGUCCUGAGCAAAUUUUGGAAGUUACAAACUUUUUUGAACGCGACACGUACCGCGGAUUCCUCAUAAAGCACGAAGCAACAAUGUUGGGUGCCUCUAACGAGCUUGUCGAACUCGAAAUUUGGGCAAAACCGAACCAAACGGGUCACGUUUCAAAAUCUUCUGUGCUUGGAAAACGAAUUUCCGUGUUGGAAGUGAGCACAGAAUUCGAUCAAAAGGAACAAAUUUCACGAAAUUUUCCAAAAACGCUCGGAAUUGACUCCGAACCGCAUUUGACAAUAAAAUUCCAUGGAAGUCGCAACGAUCAUGGAGCUUCGUACAACUUUACUGUACUUUGGUACGAGCCAAAUGGCGAUCUCGCUGAUAUUUCUGAGAUUUUCAUCGAAGAUGGGCAAACAACAUCGAUAAAUUUUGCAAAACCCGUGUUAAAAUCGCCUCUCACGCCGGGCGUUUGGUUGGUAAAAAUUCAACAUAAACGAACUCUCAUCGGAUUAUGCAAAUUUUUCGUGAUGCCGCAACUUUUGUUGACAAACUCCGACGUUGAUCCGAAACUUUUUUCCAUUAUUCAACAGUAUUUCGUGCUGAAGGACAUUUGUAUCGUUCGCAGCACAAACGACAAAAAUCGAGGAAGCGGCGCCGGAUCAUACAACACGAAACCGAUGUUUUUGCAAGGCGGGAAUGCGAGAAGGGCAACUUCUGCGGCGAAAAUCGGAAAUAAUUUGGACUUUUUGACUGAUUGUCGCAAAACUAGUUGGAGCUCCAUGGCUGCCGAUCCAAAGAGCGACAUUUCACUUCUUUUAACGAACGCUUAAAUGUGUUUAUCUGAUCUUUCAAUUUUGCACCUCUCGAAUCGAAGCACCCUUUUUUCAAUCAAAUUUAAACGUUUCAGAUCUUUUUGAACUCUAAAUGUGCCAUUUUAACAACUUUUUGCUGUUUGAAAAGUUUUUUUUUUGAAACAUUUUUUAAAAAAAUUAAAUUUGCCUCAUUUAAUCGUGAAAGUGAUAAUAAUCGAACAAAGGCAACUAAGUCGAAGGAAAAUGUUUAAUAUAUAAUUUUAUCCUUAUUUUUUGUAAAAAAAAAAUUGAAAAUAGUUUGUAGUUAAUAUUAUAGUUAGUUAUACAUUAGUGCAAUAUACAAAGACAUGUAAAAAGAGAUUUUUUUAUUUGAAAGGAAAAUAAAAAAUGACGGAAAUUCAACUUUUUUUGCUUUUUUAUUUACAAAUUCACUUUUAUCUUAUUUUAAAUGUCAAGAUCGUCAUCGGGAUCAUCGUCAUCGUAAUCAUCAGCAGCAUCUGG